AAAUGGUUCUUUGUUAUGAGUUAGUGUAUAGUGGGGAAGGAAGGUGAUGAGUUGUCGUCUCAUAUCCUUCUUUGAUUGUGAAAUGUUUCAUUCGAGAUCUGGUUAGAGAGUUCUUCCGCGAGAUGUAGGCUUCGCGGGGGUGCUGAAGAUGUUGAAUAUAAACAUAGAGGCAUGGUUUAGGGAUCUCGUAUCUUUUGAUAUCAUGCCUUGAGAUGUUAGAGACCAGUGCGCUAAGUUUAGGGCAAGACCUAGGUUUACUUUCGGUUUUAAGAUUUAUGCGGUGACUAGCCGGCUAUUGAUUUAUCUGUCGCGAUUUUAACCUGAUUCGUAUUGAUUUAAAGUCCGCAAAAAGUUCUCGGCUUACGUGACUUGUUUGAUAUGAAUCGAGCAUCUCUCCGGAGACAAUUUUUAAGCCAACCGG
rnacentral:lncRNA from 1 species